GAGGUUGUGGCUCAGGGGUAGAGUGCUCGUCCAGUAUGUGUGGGCCCUGGGUUCAAUCCUCAGCACCACA
rnacentral:tRNA from 1 species